rnacentral:rRNA from 1 species
GACGAACGCUGGCGGCGUGCCUAAUACAUGCAAGUUGAGCGCUGAAGGUUGGUACUUGUACCAACUGGAUGAGCAGCGAACGGGUGAGUAACGCGUGGGGAAUCUGCCUUUGAGCGGGGGACAACAUUUGGAAACGAAUGCUAAUACCGCAUAAAAACUUUAAACACAAGUUUUAAGUUUGAAAGAUGCAAUGGCAUCACUCAAAGAUGAUCCCGCGUUGUAUUAGCUAGUUGGUGAGGUAAAGGCUCACCAAGGCGAUGAUACAUAGCCGACCUGAGAGGGUGAUCGGCCACAUUGGGACUGAGACCCGGCCCAAACUCCUACGGGAGGCAGCAGUAGGGAAUCUUCGGCGAUGGACGAAAGUCUGACCGAGCAACGCCGCGUGAGUGAAGAAGGUUUUCGGAUCGUAAAACUCUGUUGGUAGAGAAGAACGUUGGUGAGAGUGGAAAGCUCAUCAAGUGACGGUAACUACCCAGAAAGGGACGGCUAACUACGUG